GCUGGUGGUUUUAGCAAGUGCGAAACACUCCAUCCCAUUCCGAACUGGACAGUGAAAAGUCUUAGCGCCGAUGGUACUUCAUCUUAAGAUGCGGGAGAGUAGGUCAUUGCCAGCU
rnacentral:rRNA from 1 species